UCGAGGAUCUUCGGCAAUGGGCGCAAGCCUGACCGAGCGACGCCGCGUGCGGGAUGAAGGCCUUCGGGUUGUAAACCGCUGUCAGUGGGGAGGAAGGCCCGGUGAAGAGCCGGGUUUGACCUAUCCGCAGAGGAAGUGUGGGCUAAGUUCGUGCCAGCAGCCGCGGUAAGACGAACCACACAAACGUUAUUCGGAAUUACUGGGCUUAAAGGGUGCGUAGGCUGUGCGGAAAGUUGGGCGUGAAAUACCUCAGCUUAACUGAGGAACUGCGUUCAAAACUACCGUGCUUGAGGGAGACAGAGGUAAGCGGAACUUAGGGUGGAGCGGUGAAAUGCGUUGAUAUCCUAAGGAACACCGGUGGCGAAAGCGGCUUACUGGGUCUUUUCUGACGCUGAUGCACGAAAGCUAGGGUAGCGAACGG
rnacentral:rRNA from 1 species